rnacentral:lncRNA from 1 species
GCGGGCGCGCGCCUGGCUUGCGCAGGCGCAGACGGCCUUCCGACACGUGGUCGCCGUCUUGGGCUGUUGCUCGGCUCUGGCGGUUAGGCUUUUUCCUGCUUGCGGUUGACUGGCAGCGUGGGCGAGCUCCGCGCCUGCUACCCUGGCGUUACUUCCCGACUCCGCCUGUCGUAUCUAUGGCUAGGAUGACAGAUUAGCCUUGAGCUAACUGCUGCCAAUCCUCCUUUUUGCUGAGGAAGACUGGCCUAGAGCUAACAUCUGUGCCCAUCUUCCUCUACUUUACAUGUGGGACGCCUACCACAGCAUGGCUCUUGCUAAGUGGUGCCAUGUCCACACCCGGGAUCCGGACCGGCAAACCUGGGCCACCAAAGCGGAACAUGCGGAAACUGAGGCCAAGACAGAGACUGAUCCAAGGUCACGGAGCCAGCAAGCACUGAACUUGUCCUCUCUGACUCCAAAACCAGGAAGUCCGCCUUUCGCUUUGGUCGUGGUGGUGGGCAGUGGGUGAGGGUGGGGUGAGGGCAGGGGAGGAAGUGAUUCACUUGGCUGUAUCCAGAUUCAUCCCAGACUUUUUUUUUCUUGUACCCACUGGCAGAACUUCCUCCUUUUCUCUCUCUGCCUCGUUUUCUGAUUCACUCCCCAUCUGUUAUGGUUUCUGAGAAUGUGGGUGCAGAGGGUGGGGUAAGCUGUGGGGAGUGGGAGGGAGAAUGCAGCCAGUCCUUAAUAAACAAAUAUUUUUUAUGCUCUCUAUGUACCAGGCAACGUUCUAGGGGCUGGGAGUCCUGCCGUGAAUAAAACAGAC